AAAUUGAAGAGUUUGAUCAUGGCUCAGAUUGAACGCUGGCGGCAGGCCUAACACAUGCAAGUCGAGCGGAAACGAGUUAUCUGAACCUUCGGGGAACGAUAACGGCGUCGAGCGGCGGACGGGUGAGUAAUGCCUAGGAAAUUGCCCUGAUGUGGGGGAUAACCAUUGGAAACGAUGGCUAAUACCGCAUAAUGCCUACGGGCCAAAGAGGGGGACCUUCGG
rnacentral:rRNA from 1 species